UUUCUGUUUUUAAACAGUUUAAAAAUUUUCGUCCAACAAAAAAGGCCAAAUUUAAGUUUUUGUUUGCAAUUUAUUCGUAUUUUUUGUUUUCAAAAGCAAUUUCCCAACUAGAUUCUUUAAGAAAAAAGACUCAUCUCAAGAUGUGCUCUCCUUGCUGUUAUCCAUAUUCCUGCUGCCCGCCUCGUUGUGGGCCAAGCCGUUCAUGCGGACCCUGCGGUCCGUGCCCGCCCUGCAGGCCAUGCGUGCCUUGUGGACCGAGCGGUUCAUACGGCUCGUGUUUGGAUUGUCGUAAGCCCUGUGGCGAAUCGUAUAUUUGCCGACCCACAUGCUGUUUCUACUUCGGUUGAGUUCGAGCCUGAGGGAGUGUUUUGAGGGAGUUUUGCGAAAGUGUGUUUGCUAGCCACUUGGCGGCGGUGCGUCUAUUGUUGGUGCCUGCAAGCAGUUAACGCAGCAAACACUGAAGAUUUGUGGAAAUCUGCGAGAGAUCUGAAUGUUUUUUUCCAUUCACCGUGCAAACAAGAACAAGAAAACACAUUUGUAUAUAUUAUAUUUAUUGUACAAAAUGGAGUUUAAGUGUUUGAAGACACGUACCAAACUUGGCCAAUAAAUUACGCAGUAGAUCACAUUGUGACUUUAAA